rnacentral:lncRNA from 1 species
GGAUUAUAAAGACUUCAGUUCUUUUCUGUGACAUCACUAAGAGGUACACUAGUCAGAAGGACUUUAGUUCACUUCAAAAGUUUGAUGAUGAGCCGUGGUACAAGAAAAGGAGCCAAAAGGUAGAGUUCCACAUAUCUUCUUCCUUCUAAAGUGAUGACAGGAGCAAAUAUGGAAUGGUCCACAUACUUCUUAUUUUCCAAGCAGCGGUGUAAUGUUGUACAACCUCCUCACUUUGCUUGGAAACGUGUUUGUAUAUUCAAAAACUUCUCUCAUUCGAGAGCUUCUAAACAAAAGAUAAGAGAUGAGACAAGUGAACAGGAUAAAAUUCAUCUCUUUAUUAGUCUUUGUCACUGACACAUGGUUUCAUAAACAAGUGGAGCUAGCUUCUAUGAAGCAUACAAAAUGGCAUAAUGGGAGAGACGCUUACUGGUGUUUGGCAGCCAUAAAGGAUCUUACAAUACUAUGCUUAAAGGUUGCACGAUUGACGAGGCAAACAAGGAUAAAACUCACAAAUUCAGUAUGCUGCCAAUAUUUUCUUUUAUUUAUCAUGAUGUUGAAAAAGCCAUAAAAACGGCAUGAUCAGUGCGCUGAGUUUUCUUUUCAUAACAUGCUAUGUAAAUUUAAAUAUGUCAAUAUCAAUGCAAUGAUUUAUGAAGAAACAUGUUGUGCUAUAUUUAUUUUUUUCUAUGAUGCUUAAAAUCAUGUACGAUUAAAUAUUACUCUUCAAAUGUUCAUAUAGUUUUAUUAUAUGAAUUAAACAAUCAAAGGAAUCUCUACAUGAACUUCAGUCAAGGGUAGUUCCUUAGAAGGUAAUUAACGGUAGCAUUCUUUUGGGCUAUUGGGAAAGGUUCCCCACAUAAUGGUAGCCUUCUUUUUUAGUAGCCUAGUAGAAAGCUACCGUUAAUUAACUUCUAAUGAAGUACCAUUGAUUAAAAGACCAUGCAGAGAUUUCUUUAUUAUUUAAUUAAUGCAACAAAACAUAUGAAUAUUUUUGACGAGCAGUAUUUUAUACUUGCAUGAUUUUGGACAACAAGAAACAUAAAUAAAUAAAUAGAUUAAAACAUGUUCUUUAUAAACCACUGCAUUGAAUUUUUGUUAAUGCAUUUAAGUUUACAUGCCAUGUUACAAAAAUUUAAAAUAAAGAUGAUGCCGCUUUCGAGCUUUUACAUUAUGAGGAAUAAAAGAGCAUAAAAAAUGCAUGAUGCCAUACCGAAUUUGCAAUAUCAUGAGUCCCUGCCUCGUCAGUUGCAAUACCUCACAUAGCUGCAUAAAAGUCCUCAACCACCCACAUUUGUUUCCUCCAUUCACAAUUUUGUCAGCCCGCUGGAUUUUGGCUCCACUUGUAUAUAUAGGGAAGCCUCACC